AAGCCAGCAUCCGCCCCUUCCUCCUCAACUAGCAAGCACUGCCGCCGCAUCCUCACCAUCACAUAAGGUAAAUGUAUCUCCAGCUUCAAGAUUAGUUUGGACUUUCUGUAAGCUCUACUUCUCAAAAUUGCUCUUGUGCAAUUAAUUGAAAUGUUUGUUUUUGUUCUUAUUUUCGGAGCUUUUAUGCUUGAAUGUAGGUGCUAUAAACUUAACUGAUAAUUUCUUCCAUGAACCAAUCAGAUGGAAGAAUAUUACAUGGUGGUAAAUCUUGAGGCAAUCAAAUAAUGGUAGGAAAAGAAGAGUUUGCAGCGAGUGUGGAAAUUCCACUCAUCACAGGCGCACUUGUCCUGCACUGGAGUAAUCAUUUAUAUCAUUGUUUUUUCUUUGUGAGGACAGUAUCUUAUUUGCUGCGAAACUUAUGUUUCUUUCUUUAGGUCACCCCAUCCAGGGACUUGAUGUCGAUUACUAUCCUUGAUGCGAGACUCGCAUAGGUAUGGUUUAAAUAUCUCGGACUUGUGUUGGCAGUCUUGUUCAUAGCACGCUCAUGUCUGAAUUCAGGGUUUUCACUUGUAUGUUUCAAAGGUGAUUACUAGCUAACAGAAAUAAAAAACAGGGAAAAGAAUUGUUCACCGAUAUAUGAUACCACCAGUGACCAUUGCUGGAUUCUUAUGGUUGGUCCCUUCCCCGUGACUUGGAAGGACCAUAUGCAUGGUUGGUCCCUUCACAAAGAAAUUUAAACCAUAUGGUUGGUCCUUUCACCGUGACUUG
rnacentral:lncRNA from 1 species